rnacentral:rRNA from 1 species
UACGUAGGGUGCAAGCGUUAAUCGGAAUUACUGGGCGUAAAGCGUGCGCAGGCGGUUUUGUAAGUCUGACGUGAAAUCCCCGGGCUUAACCUGGGAAUUGCGUUGGAGACUGCAAGGCUAGAAUCUGGCAGAGGGGGGUAGAAUUCCACGUGUAGCAGUGAAAUGCAUAGAGAUGUGGAGGAACACCGAUGGCGAAGGCAGCCAUCUGGACCGACACUGACGCUGAGGCGCGAAAGCGUGGGGAGCAAACAGG